UACGUAGGGUGCGAGCGUUGUCCGGAAUUACUGGGCGUAAAGAGCUCGUAGGUGGUUUGUCGCGUUGUUCGUGAAAACCGGGGGCUUAACCCUCGGCGUGCGGGCGAUACGGGCAGACUUGAGUACUGCAGGGGAGACUGGAAUUCCUGGUGUAGCGGUGGAAUGCGCAGAUAUCAGGAGGAACACCGGUGGCGGAAGGCGGGUCUCUGGGCAGUAACUGACGCUGAGGCGCGAAAGCGUGGGGAGCGAACAGG
rnacentral:rRNA from 1 species